ensembl:lncRNA
GAAAAAGUCCAUGGCAGGGCAGGGCAGAAGGCAGCAAAGUAGUGCAGCAGCAGUAGCAGCAAGGCUUCUGUCCCUUGUAUUUCCUCCAGAGCAGUACUGGGGACUGAAGCUUGGCUCCUAUAUUUUUUGCGAUGGAUGUCUCACUGCGGGUAGAAGUUGCUCAGAGGACACCAACAAGCAACCUCUGCCUUCAAGAGCAACACUAGUAGCUGGGAACAGUGGGGCAUGCUUGUAAUGCCAGCACUCUGGGAGGCUGAGUCAGGAGGAUUGCCAGUUAGAGGUCAGCCUGGACACCUCAGCAACUUAGCAAGACCCUCUCUCAAUAUAAAAAUUUAAAAAGGACCGUGGUUGUAGGCUCAAUGUGAAAGCCCCGA